GAACAGACUAGUCUCAGUCUGGACCCGGUUGUACACAUCUUCCUGUGAAGGCGUACAGUCCGUGCGUGUAAAUGUACAUGUACAUGUACAGUACGUCGUGCCCGUACGUACGUACACGUAGCAGCUUGGACCGGAAACCAGACCAUCACGUAUGCGAAAGCGGCAGCUGCUAUUGCUAAUAUGCUGUCGAUGUCAUCAGCAGUGCGCAGUCGAAAAAUUACUGAAAUCAGUCGGAGCAGAUCAUCAUGGCGCCCAUUUUGACUUCGCGGCGGAUGUCCAAUCCCCACACUGUCCAGCAGCUAUGGGAGGCUGUCACGGCCAUUCGUAACCAGAAGCAGGUGGCCAACAUGGAGCGUAUCUUGAAGUUCAUGAAGCGCGAGUAUGGUGUGUCUGCCAAGGAGACGCAGCAACAGCUGGCUUACGCCACCAAAGAUGGGUUGAUUGUCAAAGACAACUCGAGAGCCAAGAAGGGCGUCAGGGCUGGUCAAGAGCAAGAGGCCUACUGGUGUACUGUUGAACAAGAAGACGAGAGCAAAGAGUCCCAUGACUGGUACUGCUGUAAGUGUCACGGCCCAGGGGAGGUCCUGUGCUGUGGGUCUUGUUACCGUGUGUAUCACCCAGAUUGUGUGCCAGAGGGGGUUGACCUGGGCAACCUGGGUUCAUCCUGGACAUGUCCGGUCUGCAGGCAAAUCAAAUCUCCACGCCAGAAACUCACCAAACCAGUGUUGUACAAACUGCUCAAUCAUGUUCUGAAAAGAAUGAAGGACAAGGCACGAGAUCUUCACAAGAAGUUGAAUAUGGGUGCGCUUCCCAACUACUACAACCUCGUUUACAGGCAUGUUGAUCUUGCCACUAUCAUGCAGCAGAAAGUUGAAGACAAGAGAUAUCGCUGCAUCGAAGAAUUCCAAGCUGAUGCUGAGAUGAUGGUCCAUACGGCAGUCAUCUAUCAUGGCCAGACGCACGAGCGAACGGAUCUCUGCCAGUUUACACUCAACGACUGCAACUAUGACCUGGCAGAAAUCCAGCUUUGUAAGGAUUGCUACCUGAUGUCCAACAGUCGCACUGACAAAGGAUGGUUCUGCAAGCCCUGUGACCCUGCUCAUGAGGUUGUGUGGGCCCAGAUGAAAGGCUUUGGAUACUGGCCGGCUAAGGUGUUGCAGAGAGUGGACAGUAAUGUGGAUGUGAGGUUCUUUGGCAGUAGGCACCAAAGAGCCUGGAUACCGGAGGAGAAGACGAGAGACAUCAGUGUACACCACAGCAAGCUCAGUGUCAAGGCGACCCAGGGGUGGCGCAAGGCACUCAAGGAGCUGCAUACAUACCUCGGGAAAAACCCUAGAUCAGAUAGUGAGGAGUCCGUGGACAGUAAGCCCACACGGAAACGAAGUCGUGAGGACUCAAGCAAGACAGAAGGCUCCGGUGAAAAUGAAGAUGACGUGGUGUCCAGUACCUACAGUGAUGGGGAUCAGGUUGAAACAAAGCAGUCAAGAUUACAGGACCAUUCUGUUUCAACAAGUCAAGCAUCACCGGAUGGAGUUACAGCAGAUGAAAAUACAGUUAAGAAGGAGCAUUCCUCAUCCACUCCGCCGUCCUCCCCCAAUCCAGCUCCGCCAGAGGUCAUUGCACCUCCUCCAAACAAGAAGCUGAGGAGGAACUCCACCAGCACGGUGGAGCACCAGGAGAUGCCCCAGUUACCCAAGGUGCCAGACGGAGAGAGCGGGAGCGGUGCCCCGCUGCAGUGCAAGUGCCAAGAGGUGUUCGACGCCAUGCUGGCUGAAAAGCUGGCCCAGCAGCAGAAGGAAUUGCAGAAGGAGCACCAGAAGGCACUGGAGAAAGCUGUCAAGGAAGCCCUGAAAAAGGCCAAGGAAGAGUUUAAAGCAGAGAAGGAGAAGGCACUGGCCCAUGCCAAGGAGAGUGCCAAGAUGGAACUGGAGGCAGAGCGCAAGGAGGCCGCUGAGCGGGCCCAACAGGACAAGGACGAGGAGCUGGAGAAACUCAAGACCAAGCACAAGGAGGAGAUCUCCUUCACUAAGAAGCGACAGUGGUGUAUCAACUGUGAGCAAGAGGCCAUGUAUCACUGCUGCUGGAAUACCUCUUACUGCAGCAUCAGCUGCCAACAGUCCCACUGGCACAAAGAGCACAAGCGUCUCUGCCGACGCAAACGGUGAUGAGAAACCUCCCUUCCCCCAAAGAUGGCCAUCACAGUUCAACCAACGGGUCAACGCUACAAGAGGUCCCCAGAGGAAGAUUUGAAAAA
rnacentral:misc_RNA from 1 species